UGAGGCCCUUUGACCUCUAGCCUUAGGAACUACUGCUCCCCCUGCUGGCAGCCCAGCCAGAGAUGAUAUAAACAGAUUCAGCCUCUAGACUCACCCACAUACUUUUCCUCAUCAUGAAGAUUAGUGGCCUCUACGUCCUCGCCCUGAUCUUCUUCCUUUGCCUCUUCAAGGCUCAGGCUGGAAUCCACCGGAAGAAUAAACCGAAACCAAAGCCUGGAUAUUGCCCAGAGUUUGAUCUUCGAUGUGAUUUCGUGUUUAUUCCUAUGUGCCGCCAUGAUAAACGUUGCAGAAAGGAUAAGAAGUGUUGUUUCUACAACUGUGGAUUCAAGUGUGUGGAACCAUGGUGGACUCUGGAUUGAGGUGGAAACCUCUUCUGCCCCAGGUCUGAGAAGUCACUGCUGCUGCAGGCUCUGAUUUCAUCUUGGAACCCUGGUGUACGCUUCUUCCACAUUCACUCCACUUAAAGGGGUUAAAUGCUUGGAAAACUUGUGCUAUGAAAACCACACAACAAAGAAAUAAAACACUGUGCAUUUAAAAAGACACGAAAACCCAAAGUCUACUGGAUCUCUCUCUUUUUUCCUUUUUUGAUGAUCCAUUUAGAUCUAUAAGAGAAAUGGGGUUACUGUUUCACAUUUAGCGUUUACUAAUACAUGCACCUC